ACACCAUUAAGGAAGUUAAUGAGAGCGCUGAGAAAUAUCUACUUAAUGAGCCUUUGAAAAUCAGUAUGACCCUGGGUACUGUGAUGGCAGCAGAGUUAAAUGGGGGAUGCAUUUUGAUUAAAUCUGCUGUCAUAUUCUAUUCUUAAUGUUACUGCUUUGCUUUUACAUUAUCUCCCAUUUAAAGAUAAAAGCUUUUUGUCCUGUUUCCAUUAUUUUAAGUAACAGUUAUGACUUUUAUUCAUGGGCGGAUUAUGAAACAAUGGUUUCAUAUGCAAAAGCAUAUGCACCAUGUCUCAGACUUUGUCGUGGUUUUGUGUCUCUUUGAGAUGACUUUGUGUUUUUUGGUUGUUUAGUGUCACUUUGUAUUCAGCUGGUGUCUCCUUGAGGUUGAUUUGGCUGUUUUUUAAUUUAUUUUGUGUCUCUUUGUAGUUAUUUUUCAUCUCUUUGUGGUCAUUUUGAGUCUCUUCUUGGUCAGUGUGUGUUAAUUUGUGUGACAUUUGGCAGGUGAAGGCCAGGGGGCCCCCUGACACUUUGGGCUCCUGGGCCUGUGCCCUGUAAGCCAGUUCAGCAGUCCAUCUGUGCUUCUAUUGCACCAGCACAUUGGUCUGAUCUGAUUCCAUUUUUAUAUAGCCAUUCAAACACAUUUUUGUACAAAAUGUUAUAUAUGAGAGAGAGGGGUUUUUUCCUCUUGUGACAGUUGAAUAUAACUUUAUAUGGCAUUAUUAUAAUGUAUGAAAUCAAUCAUCAAUAUUGGGUGCAUGCCAUGGUACUUUUUCAGUACACUCAUUUCUUUGGGGUCUGUUUCAUUUUGGAGGCGCAGAGGGAAAAUGUAGUUAUAUGCUGCCCCCUGCUGUUCAAAAGACAACAGUCACUAAAGGGUGCAUUUGAUUACAGAUGCCAGGACAGGAAAUUAAAAGCUUGCGUGCACCAGUUUGUGCACACAAUCACGCAGUGCAAGGGAUUUGUGAAGCUGUGAGGAAGAAAAGCAUUAGCUCAUGCUGCUGAUUACUUCCCUUAUGUUUGCACUACAACAUCAUUAAGGUUUUACAAAGGCAAAGAAAGUAAUGGACUAUUCUGACUGACACGUCCGACAAGAGCUGCUGUGGUGCCACCAUCCCAGACUGUCAGCAAACUGGUAUUUUUGGCCAGACAGGACUGUGUGCUAUUUUAUGCAAAUGAAGGCAGAUUUUUGGGGAGAAAAACAAACAAAUAGAGGGCUUAUUAGAAGAAACACUUGUCAUAAAACAUAAAAUAUAUUCUAUUAUCCAGUAUAAACCCACUUCCUGAGCUGUGCAUCAGGGUGGGGCUCAAAAGACCCUGAGCCCAAAUCCUAUUUAAAAAGGGGUAGAGGUGAAACAGAUUUUAAGUUCAGGUCUAAUCCAGCUCAGUGACGAAGAACAAACCCACCCACCCAGACAGGGAGUUCCACCUGCAGGUCAAGACACUGAUACCUGCAUAGAUCAACCCUUCAAAUCACAGGUGAGAGCACCGCUCCGUUAACCAUCUCAAAAGACAUCAGUAUAAACAUUGUCUGGGCUUAAUUCAUUCAGCGUAAAGUCAAAAUCCCAUUACAUUUGCACACACUCAUUGGAGCUGUUAAAAUACCUGUGAUCCUCGUGCAGCUGAGCUGAAAGUGCUCUUCAGCUGAUUAAAACAGAGCAAGAAUUCACUGUUCUCCUUCAACUAUAAUCUCUAAUUGAGAGUGAUGGUGCUUCCCUGCUGACCUACUAUUAACUCACUUCACCAAGUCUCAUGGCUUUUUAUUGCUUUGCUUUUUAUUCCAAACGCAAUUUAUCAUUUUAUUCAUUAUCUAAUUAUAGUGUUGAUCAGACUGAUCUCAUGUGGGUGUGACGGAUACAGCAGCAGCCUGAGGUUAUCUGAGCAUGAUAACAAAUUCUCUCACAGAUCUACUGGUCCCGACAAGGACAACUGGUCAUGUUGCGCCAAUCAGGGUCGCCCAUUCCUUCACAGGCUACUUUUCAUUGGCUGAAGAGACGGGCGUGAAACAUACGCAAUACGCCGUGGCAUAGACAUGUACGUCUAUGCACCGUGGUACCAGUCUCAACGAUGAGACGUUUAGGGAACGCACAGAAUGUACGACCAAUGGCCUAUGAUAUGAUAUGUGCCUAUUUGUGUGCUACCUGUGGGGAGACAUGAUUUUUUAAUUUAAAAACAUAUCUAUCUAUCUAUCUAUCUAUCUAUCU